rnacentral:tRNA from 1 species
UCAUUUUUAGUUUAGUGGGAAAAUGCUUGGUUUUGUAAACAGAAAGGGCGAGGGUUCGAAUCCCACUUGUGGAA